UAAAUAUUAGGUACAUUAAGAUGCUGUGAUUCUACAGAAGCUUAUUUUAGAGAACAGCUGAAAUAGAAAGGAGUAACAAGUAAAUAUUAGGUACAUUAAGAUGCUGUGAUUCUACAGAAGCCUAUGUUAGAGAACAGCUGAAAUAGAAAGGAGUAACAAGUAAAUAUUAGGUACAUUAAGGUGCUGUGGUUCUACAGAAGUUUAUUUUAGAGAACAGCUGAAAUAGAAAGGAGUAACAAGUAAAUAUUAGGUACAUUAAGAUGCUGUGAUUCUACAGAAGCUUAUGUUAGAGAACAACUGAAAUAGAAAGGAGUAACAAGUAAAUAUUAGUUACAUUAAGGUGCUGGGGCUGUUCAGAGGGUUAUGUUAGAAAACAACUGAAAUGAAGAGAAGAAACAAGUAAAUAUUAGGUGCAUUUGGUUGUACAGAAGCUUACACUAGAGAACAGUUGAAAUGGAGAGGAGUAACAGAUAAAUUUUAGAUAUGUUAAGAUGCUGUGCCUUUUCCGUGAAUUUUUAGACGACAGCUAAUGUUUUCUGCUUCUGGUAAUACCUCUUAGAAGACAAGUAUUUAAUAGUAGACGAAGAACUAUGCAGUAGUAAUGUGUAUUUUUUAUACAGUAGAGUUAACUGUAUAAUUUAAAUCUUUUGUUUCUGUUUACCUUUUUUUUUCUGAUGAAUUACUAAUGAGAUAAUAGGUUAUGGAAUGUACAGAAACUAAGGUUCUCUUUAUAACCCUUUGGUUAUGUGAAAUAAGUAUGGAAUUUUGUUUGAUCUGUUUCUAAUAUGAAUAAGCAGGAAGUUUAUACUUGUACUAUGAAUUACAUAGCAAGCUGCUACAUGAUGUAAUGGUUUCUUUCAUGCAAUGUAGGAAUGUUCAGUUGGAAACUAUAUUUUUUCUCGUGUGUGUGUGUGUGAAUAUACAAAUGUCUGCUAUUUUUAUAUUUCUUUCUGUUUUAUUAAAUACUUUAUUGGCAUUAAGAUUUCUAUUCUUUGAAAAACAUGAUGUUUCAAACCUGUGAUUAAGAUAAGUAAUGUGAUUUAAAUCUUUGAAUAAAAGAAAAGAGCUUUGGUUUUAAAUUGGGAAAUACAUGAUUUUGCAUUUAUCAACUUUUGUAACACUGAGUAUGAACUGUAUAACAUAAUUGUUAUUUUAUAUGUGAAAUUCUAUUUUAGUAAAUUCACGUUUUAAUGCUUCUCGAGUUAUUACGAGUCAAGGUUUCUUGUUGUUAUUAGUUUUAGUUGAUGGUUUAAAAGUUCACAGUUGAAAGGAGUUUUUAAGAAAAGUUUACUAGUACAGGAAACGUUACAUGGAAUAAAAAUAUCAUUGUAAAGUAAUAAAAUAAUUUAUAGUGCUUUGUAGUCGAAAUAUUUUACUUGUGUGUAGAGGAUAGAAGAGUUAAAGAAGCUGUAUGAAUUCUUCAAGUAUAAUAUUUAACAGUUUGUUUUUACUGAUAGAAAAUUGGAAAAACAACAUUCAUGGUGAUGUAUUGCUUGAAUAAGGCUUGUACGAAGAUUAAUAAUAGGUAGUUGAUUGUAUUAUUUUCCUAUCCUCACACAUCUUGAUUAUUGUUGUAAUUGAAUAACAUUAAAAAAAACUAUUAAAAAAUGGU